GGGGAGGAGCCGGUUUUACCCGGAGGCGCGGGUCCUGUGGUCGGUGCCGCGCCGGUCACCCAGGCCCUGGGACCGCUGCCAGGGAGCGCGGCGGGGCGGCCAGGUGGCCGCGCGGGGUCUCCGAGCCGAUAGAGGCCGAGCGUGGGGAGCCUGCAGGGGUGAUCGGCGUGGCCGCGCACUGGGCCGUAGCGGUCUGAGGGAUCCGGGCUUCUGGGCGCUGAAACAGGUCCCUGGCGGAGGGGCCCAGACCCUGAGCUUGGGCACCCAUGGGCCAGGCAGCUGCCUAGUACUCGCCGCACGCCGGGCAGUGAGGGUCCGCGGCGCUCUGUGGGCCACCUUGUGGAGUCACGGGGCGAUCACUGCCUACCUGGCUGCCGGGAGGAGCCCAGGCCCCAAGCCCGGAGACACACUCACUGUCCCAGAUUCCUUCUGGGACUGGGAGCAGGCCGAGGCCAGAAACUGAAGCGCAGACAGGGAAGUGAGCCUCUUCACCUCCCUUAUGCUGGAGGACAGGGUGAGGGCACAGGAGCAUCUCAGGGCCACAGUGAUCUGGCUUUUCUGCAGGUGAAGCAUGGAGAGCAUUUCAUGAGCAUGAGAAAUCUAGUUAAACUUCUCUUCUUCAGUUGGAUUCUUGUCAAAGUAAUACUUCCAGGCCAGUGUCUUAUGUGCCUUCUUAAACUUCUCCUGAGUGGCAUUGGAUUUCUCCCUCAGGGCAUCAUGAAGUGGCUUCUUUCACCAGUUUCUGCAGCUGGUGAGUAGUGGCUGGUUUAGGACACCACUGCUGGGCCUCUCAGUGGACAUUCUAGAACGUUCUCUCACAGGAGUUCUUAACGGCAGAUUUACUUCGACAGGAAGCAAAAGAGAUGCGAAAGGAGAAAUACUGUCACACAAGCAGUCACAGUUUGAAGCAUGUGAAGGAUUCGACCUGUCCCUGUUGAUUUGAAGAUGAAGAUAACAGUGUAAUGAGGAAAGCAGGUUGCCUUGGAAGCUGAGAGAGGCCUCUGGCUGACACUGGGAAAUAGAGUCACCUGCCCUGCAACACAAGGGGCUGAAUUCAGCCAACAACCUGAAUGAGGUUGAAGGCAUAUUCAUCUCCCAAGCCUCUAGAAGAAAGAAGCCAUGGACACCUGGCUUUUGGCUUUAUGAAACUCAACUCAGCCACACUCUGGGACUUCUGAAUUACAGAACUGUAAGAAAAUGAAUGAGGGUUUCAGCCAUUAUGUUUAUGGUGCAGUGUCAAUGGGGUACUCAUUCAUAG
rnacentral:lncRNA from 1 species